CCACGGACUGACGUCCGUGGCUGUUGCAUGUCAUCGCUUUGCGAUU
rnacentral:sRNA from 1 species